UACGGGGGGGGCAAGCGUUGUUCGGAAUUCCUGGGCGUAAAGGGCUCGUAGGUGGCCAACUAAGUCAGACGUGAAAUCCCUCGGCUUAACCGGGGAACUGCGUCUGAUACUGGAUGGCUUGAGUUUGGGAGAGGGACGCGGAAUUCCAGGUGUAGCGGUGAAAUGCGUAGAUAUCUGGAGGAACACCGGUGGCGAAGGCGGCAUCCUGGACCGACACUGACACUGAGGAGCGAAAGCCAGGGGAGCAAACGGG
rnacentral:rRNA from 1 species